AGAGCAGCGAGAACCAACAGCUAAACAAUCUCGGCAAUUCGAGAUGUGUUGUCUUUAAAAGCUAUCCUGCUGGAUGAGGAUUAGGUUGUACUGAACAUAAAAAAGAUCCAGGGGCCAAACAAAAGAAAAAAAAGAAAAGACAAAACGUAAUCCGCUACGACAUGACGACAUUGACUUGUCGCACGAUGUCGCAGUGUUAAAUUGACUUGUUACGUCUAAGACAAAGCUAAAGACAAAAUGGCCAGAGUUAAUAUACGACUUUACUACUUUUCGUAGAUGCAAUCUUUCUUCAGAUUCUUAUGAGCAUACACAUUACGACGUUUAAAUGAGUCAUUGCUCAGAACGACAUUCAUCGGAAUACACAUCUACUGUAACCAUAACCUUAUACGGUCUCAGAUAGCGAAUAGAUUAGCGUAGAUAAUAAUACGAUUAAAAAAUCUCUUAGAAAAAGGACAAUAAGAAAAUACAAUCGAUAGAAUAAAACACUUUAUCUGAAUUUUCAA